AACAGUUUUAAAUUUUUCGUACAGCAUUCCGGUAUCCGGAUGCCCCCGUAACAUCUGCUGCCCGGGGCAAGUGCCGUUAAAACACUCCGUCAAAUACGGCCCUGCCUAGGGGGAUGGUGGCUAAUACGGUUUUACCCCUCCAAUGGGCCGUGUCAGAUAGAACCAAAUAAUAAAAACUAUUCGGCAUUGACGAAAUCGUAACUAAUAAAAUAAUAAUCGUUGCACAUUUGCACUACUUAUUCACC